rnacentral:rRNA from 1 species
UUGUGGGUGAGGUAAGGCCCAACCAAGCAUAUAACAGGUACGGGCUCUGAGAGGAGGGGCCCGGAGAUGGGUACUGAGACACGGACCCAGGCCCUAUGGGGCGCAGCAGGCGAGAAACCUUUGCAAUGUGCGAAAGCACGACAAGGUUAAUCCGAGUGUCUCCUGCUAAAGGAGUCUUUUGUCAGUUGUAGAAUCACUGGUGAAUAAGGGGUGGGCAAGUUCUGGUGUCAGCCGCCGCGGUAAAACCAGCACCUCGAGUGGUCAGGAGGUUUAUUGGGCCUAAAGCAUCCGUAGCCGGUUGCAUAAGUUUUCGGUUAAAUCUAUGCGCUUAACGUAUAGGCCGCCGAAAAUACUGUGCAGCUAGGGAGUGGGAGAGGUACACGGUACUCGAUAGGAAGGGGUAAAAUCCUUUGAUCUAUUGAAGACCACCUGUGGCGAAGGCGGUGUACCAGAACACGUUCGACGGUGAGGGAUGAAAGCUGGGGGAGCAAACCGGAUUAGAUACCCGGGUAGUCCCAGCUGUAAACGAUGCAGACUCGGUGAUGCAUUGGCUUGUGGCCAAUGCAGUGCCGCAGGGAAGCCGUUAAGUCUGCCGCCUGGGAAGUACGUACGCAAGUAUGAACUUAAAGGAUUGGCGGGGGAGCACCACAAGGGAUGAAGCCUGCGGUCAAUUGGAGUCAACGCCA